AUUGAACGCUGGCGGCAGGCCUAACACAUGCAAGUCGAACGGUAACAGGAAGAAGCUUGCUUCUUUGCUGACGAGUGGCGGACGGGUGAGUAAUGUCUGGGAAACUGCCUGAUGGAGGGGGAUAACUACUGGAAACGGUAGCUAAUACCGCAUAACGUCGCAAGACCAAAGAGGGGGACCUUCGGGCCUCUUGCCAUCGGAUGUGCCCAGAUGGGAUUAGCUAGUAGGUGGGGUAACGGCUCACCUAGGCGACGAUCCCUAGCUGGUCUGAGAGGAUGACCAGCCACACUGGAACUGAGACACGGUCCAGACUCCUACGGGAGGCAGCAGUGGGGAAUAUUGCACAAUGGGCGCAAGCCUGAUGUAGCCAUGCCGCGUGUAUGAAGAAGGCCUUCGGGUUGUAAAGUACUUUCAGCGGGGAGGAAGGGAGUAAAGUUAAUACCUUUACUCAUUGACGUUACCCGCAGAAGAAGCACCGGCUAACUCCGUG
rnacentral:rRNA from 1 species